UGUUGCCUUUCGAGAGAGAGAGAAAGAAACCACCCAUUUUCGUAGAGAGAUACGAGUAAAUUAAAAACGAGGGGGAUCUGGAUCUCGUUAUUCUAAAAAAUCAGAUGAUUUUUGUGAUGAUAUUUGUGAUCAGCUAUGGCGCAUAUGCUAAAACAGCUUCAGAAAAGUCUCUCAUGAAGUCAAGAUAAUAUCGCAUAGCCCGGUUAUGUAAUAGUUGAUGUCUUGGCGACCUAUAAUGUAAUACCCAACUUUUCAUUAUGUAUAUAUGUUAUUAGGAUCUAAAACGUGUAAGAUAGUGUAGAUGAAAAUAAACUGUAUCACAAAUUUAAUUUGCAAUCACUUCUUCCAAAAGAUAGAUUAGACUUGCUGUAGUGGGUGGUGUUUUUUCUUGUGUCUUGGAUAAUCGUUAUUGGCACAAAUAUUUUGCAAUCUUUUUGCAGUUAGUUAAAGCUUCGAGAUAAUUUUAGAUUGUGUAAAGUUAUUCUUUUUUUAGACCAUUAUUUGUAUCUCUUGAUCA